rnacentral:rRNA from 1 species
GUGUCAGCAGCCGCGGUAAGACGAACCGUGCGAACGUUGUUCGGAUUCACUGGGCUUAAAGGGCGCGUAGGCGGGCCGCCAAGUCUGUGGUGAAAGCCCCCGGCUUAACCGGGGAAGUGCCGCGGAUACUGGCGAUCUCGAGGGGUGCAGGGGCAUGUGGAACUUCCGGUGGAGCGGUGAAAUGCGUAGAUAUCGGAAGGAACGCCGGUGGCGAAAGCGACGUGCUGGACACCUACUGACGCUGAGGCGCGAAAGCCAGGGGAGCAAACGGGAUUAGAUACCCCGGUAGUCCUGGCCCUAAACGAUGGGUACUAGGCUGUGGGCUUGACAUGGGCUCACAGCCGAAGCAAAAGUGCUAAGUACCCCGCCUGGGGAGUAUGGUCGCAAGGCUGAA